AAUAAAAUUGGUAUUCCGGGACGACGGGUAGAAUCCCUAAUCCAUCCCCGCCGUGGGAUGAGGCGCAGCGGCCAUAGAGGGAGAGGAGGCAGACGACCGUCCCCCGGUGCUGGAGGGUUUUGUUGACAGCCCAGUAGCCCCGGGUUCCGUCUCCGUCGUCGCCGAUCGUGUCCCGUAGACAAGUUCCGACGUCAACCCUAAGCGAGGGAAGCAAAUAGCAUUUGGAAGAAGACCUGGAUCAUGGAUGGGUGGUCAUGGCUGGGAAGCCCUUUCCAUCUCUUGAAUACUUCAGCUUCUUCUUGGGAGGAGAGCAGAUCAUUGCCCACAUAACCUCUCUCCAGAGCAGUCUCCACUUUCUCCUUCAUAGUUUGGUACAUCAUCUGCAGCUUUGAGGAACAAAACUUCACAAGUGAGAUGUUUGAACAUUUCAAGAAUGCCUAUCAGAAGGGCAACCAGUACCUGGCGAACCUCGAGGCUUCCAUGAAGGCGAAGAGCGUGAUCUCCGAGCCGCCAUCGUCCGACACAUAGAUCGAGAUCCGGUCGGUUGGGUAGUCGAAGGCCAUCACCGACAGCGCGGUGCU